rnacentral:rRNA from 1 species
CGAAAGCCUGACGGAGCAAGACCGCGUGGGGGAGGAAUGCCUUAGGGUUGUAAACCCCUUUUAUCUGGGAAGAACAAAAUGACGGUACCAGAUGAAUAAGCCUCGGCUAACUCCGUGCCAGCAGCCGCGGUAAUACGGAGGAGGCAAGCGUUAUCCGGAAUUAUUGGGCGUAAAGCGUCCGCAGGUGGCGAUUCAAGUCUGCUGUUAAAGACAGUGGCUCAACUACUGAAAGGCAGUAGAUACUGAAGGACUAGAGUGCGGUAGGGGCAGAGGGAAUUCCCGGUGUAGCGGUGAAAUGCGUAGAGAUCGGGAAGAACAUCGGUGGCGAAAGCGCUUUGCUAGACCGAAACUGACACUCAGGGACGAAAGCUAGGGGAGCG